rnacentral:misc_RNA from 1 species
GAUGAAGAACGUAGCGAAAUGCGAUAAGUAAUGUGAGUUGCAGAAUUCAGUGAAUCAUCGAAUCUUUGAACGCACAUUGCGCCCCCCAGUAUUCUGGCGGGCAUGCCUGUUCGAGCGUCAUUUCAACCAUCAAGCCCUGCUUGUGUUGGGGUCCUGCGGCUGCCCGCAGGCCCUGAAAACCAGUGGCGGGCUCGCUAGUCACACCGAGCGCAGUAGCACAUCUCGCUCAGGGCGUGCGGCGGGCUCCAGCCGUUAAAGCACCCACCUUUCGCAAGGUUGACCUCGGAUCAGGUAGGAAUACCCGCUGAACUUAAGCAUAUCAAUAAGCGGAGGA